rnacentral:rRNA from 1 species
GAGUGAACGCUGGCGGUAGGCCUAACACAUGCAAGUCGAACGGCAGCCCAGUAAGAGCUUGCUCUUACGGGUGGCGAGUGGCGGACGGGUGAGGAAUACAUCGGAAUCUACUUUUUCGUGGGGGAUAACGUAGGGAAACUUACGCUAAUACCGCAUACGACCUACGGGUGAAAGCAGGGGAUCUUCGGACCUUGCGCGAUUGAAUGAGCCGAUGUCGGAUUAGCUAGUUGGCGGGGUAAAGGCCCACCAAGGCGACGAUCCGUAGCUGGUCUGAGAGGAUGAUCAGCCACACUGGAACUGAGACACGGUCCAGACUCCUACGGGAGGCAGCAGUGGGGAAUAUUGGACAAUGGGCGCAAGCCUGAUCCAGCCAUACCGCGUGGGUGAAGAAGGCCUCCGGGUUGUAAAGCCCUUUUGUUGGGAAAGAAAAGCAGCAGGUUAAUACCCCGCUGUUCUGACGGUACCCAAAGAAUAAGCACCGGCUAACUUCGUG